rnacentral:rRNA from 1 species
UACGUAGGGUGCAAGCGUUAAUCGGAAUUACUGGGCGUAAAGCGUGCGCAGGCGGUUUUGUAAGUCAGGUGUGAAAUCCCCGGGCUUAACCUGGGAACUGCAUUUGAGACUGCAUAGCUAGAGUACGGUAGAGGGGGAUGGAAUUCCGCGUGUAGCAGUGAAAUGCGUAGAUAUGCGGAGGAACACCGAUGGCGAAGGCAAUCCCCUGGACCUGUACUGACGCUCAUGCACGAAAGCGUGGGGAGCAAACAGG